GGGACCGUUGUGUAGGGAUAAACGUGGUUACCUCUCACCCAAUCGGCUUGGGUUCAAUCCCAGACGGUCCCG
rnacentral:tRNA from 1 species